UAUGUAUAUUCUAUUUGUAUGUAUAUUCUAUGUAUAUUCUUCAAGUUUUCGAAGCAUAAACUAACAGGCAGUAUUAAACAGCGUGGUACAUUUUCAAUUGCAUCUUGCUACCUGUCUCCUGCUACAUUA
rnacentral:snoRNA from 1 species